CCUACGGGUGGCUGCAGUCGAGAAUCAUUCACAAUGGGCGAAACCCUGAUGGUGCGACGCCGCGUGGGGGAAUGCAGCUCUUCGGAUUGUAAACCCCUGUCAUAUGGGAGCAAAUUAAAAAGAUAGUACCACAAUGUGAAUACACGACGAACUCUGUUCGAGCAGCCGCGGUAAUGCAGAGGUCGCAAGCGGUGUUCGGCAUGACUUGGCGGAAAGCGUUCGUAGGCUGUGUCGUAAGUCGGGUGUGAAAGGCGCGGGCUCAACCCGUGAAUGGCACCUGAUACUGGGUGACUAGAGUUAAGGAGAGGGAAGCGGAAUUCGUGGUGUAGCAGUGAAAUGCGUAGAUAUCGCGAAGAACACUCGUGGCGAAGGCGGGUUCCUGGACAUUAACUGACGCUGAGGCACGAAGGCCAGGGGAGCGAAAGGGAUUAGAUACCCUGGUAGUC
rnacentral:rRNA from 1 species